UAGGAUUGGUUCUACCGUUGAGAACGCACCUCGGAAAGUGUCCAUUGGACCUCGUCCUGUCGUUGCUACGUGGUAAA
rnacentral:ribozyme from 1 species